GACGAACGCUGGCGGCGUGCUUAACACAUGCAAGUCGAACGGAAAGGCCCUGCUUUUGUGGGGUGCUCGAGUGGCGAACGGGUGAGUAACACGUGAGUAACCUUCCCUUGACUUUGGGAUAACUUCAGGAAACUGGGGCUAAUACCGGAUAGGAGCUCCUGCUGCUUGGUGUUGGUUGGAAAGUUUCGGCGGUUGGGGAUGGACUCGCGGCUUAUCAGCUUGUUGGUGGGGUAGUGGCUUACCAAGGCUUCGACGGGUAGCCGGCCUGAGAGGGUGACCGGCCACAUUGGGACUGAGAUACGGCCCAGACUCCUACGGGAGGCAGCAGUGGGGAAUAUUGCACAAUGGGCGGAAGCCUGAUGCAGCGACGCCGCGUGCGGGAUGACGGCCGUCGGGUUGUAAACCGCUUUCGCCUGUGACGAAGCGUGAGUGACGGUAAUGGGUAAAGAAGCACCGGCUAACUACGUG
rnacentral:rRNA from 1 species